UAUUAGCCAAUGGUUGAAUUCAAAUCAGUUCCAAGAGCAGACUAUAUGUGACGUUGCCAUGCUAUGCAAGUGUGAAGCUUGUGAUGGAACAAGAACAACCUGUAAAUAGAUGUGAUGAUUCCUAGCAACAGGCAGUUGAGGUGUCAGUGAGACUUCACUAUCAAUUGGACUCUUGAUCACCUGAGGGAAAUCGUCUGUCACCUCCAUUUAACCUCAGUCUGCCCUGCUUGUGUAGAUUGCAAACAGGGAGGUAGCUGCUUGUAGCCACCAAGCCACCUGUCACAUCCAUGUAUUUAUAUGUCCUUUUAGCUAACAGGUGGAAGGAAACAAGACUAAAACAUUUUUUUCUGUGCAUUAGCCAGGAAGGCCACAGCAUGUGAAUAGAAAGCAGUGUUCAGCCGAGGAAACAGUCUCACAGUGGAAACCAAGCUUGAUUAAUCCCUGUAGCUUUGUGUUGUGGUGAUGCUGAUUUCUAAUGGUCAAUGUUUGGCAUUAUUUCUGAUCUAUAACUAUUAUCUCCUUAAGUUUCAAAAGGCUAUAGCUUCCUGUGAGAGAUGAGGGGCAUUUCUUGUAACAUCCAAUGCAGCACUUAUGGUGCAUUAGUAUUUUGGCUGAAACAUAACAUACCGUAGGCCUUAGACAAGGAACUCCUAGAAUAACCACCACCAUCAUAUCUGUCAUAGAUAUGUAAGGUCCAUCUGUCUCAAGAAUAGGCCUUAAAACAUUGCAGAACACUUCAUACUAUAUUGACUGCCUUCUUGCUAUCGCUAUUGAAACCACAGUGACUAUGUGGGUAAAUUAUUAAUCUGAAGAUAGUGAUGUCAUUUACGGCAAGUAUGUGCUAUAUCUCUUUAACUAUGGGCUUGAAAGGUUGUCAAACAAACAAUCACAAAUAAAAUUCCCCUCAAAGCGAUGUAGUGUAUAAUCACCUCUACGUUGUGGGAAAAAUAAAGGCCUAUUGGAUUUAGUUUUUUGCUUGGAUCAAGUCCUGGUACAGAAGCGAAUGUCCUUGAGAGCUGAUGGUGAAGUUGCUACAUAUUACUAUAGCAGCCUAAGCUUAAUUUUUAAUUGAACACUGAGGUCGAGGCAACAUUAGUGAGCUCCUCCAUUUCAUCCAUCCCCACCACUGGCCCAUGCCUCAGACACACGUCCUUCAGCAGCAGACACGGAGAGCAAGGUAAAGACGUUGAUGCGCCCAGACCAAGUCUCACACACCACCCAGCCAUGCCCAUAGACACAACGUUCCUAUAAUGGACUUAGCCCCUCAGACCACAUAAAUUUUAAUGCCUCCUCAGCACCCACUGGAAUGGGGGUCCGCAUUCUAAGAAUUACAUUUCUAUGGGCAUGCCCGCCCAGACAUAAAAAACCCAGCUGCAGGCCAAUAACCCAGCUUUCUUCUGUCUGUCUCUCUAGGGUUGUUUUCCUAAAAAAGUUACAACCACUUUCUGUUUUGUUUCCUUGCCACGAUACUAAUGAAUAUCGCAAUACUGGUAUGGUCCCGGCUCUACACAGUACCCCUGCUUCAUCUAAAAUCUCCUUCUCCACAAUCAUGAAUUAUUCACCUCACCAACCCUCAAAUCUCUCUCUUUAUCUCCUCAGAUCUACAGUCUCCUGCCAGUUGUGUUUGAGAGUCCCUCUACAUCUUAGCCUGUGGCUCACUGGGCUCUUUGGUCCCUUGUUUACUCUGGAGCUGCAGGGGAAGAGCUCUGCAAAGUUCUAGAGCUCUCAGCAGUAUGCAGAGAGCAAACAGGAAGACAGAUGACUGGGGUGUGUGGGGGCGCUGCUGCAGUCCCCCCUCUGCCUCCCUCCACCCCUUCACUCCUGUUCUGAGCCAACACAUGCCCUCCCAGUGACACAGCACAAUUGCAACCAGCUGCUGCUUACCCAGAGCCCUGCCGUAGCUGCAUUGGCAUGGCAAUGGAUCAACGCUAGGGCCUGCCAGGCAGGACAGGGACCCCAAGGUCAAGGGAGAU